CCCUUCGACUCAUACGCGGCCCAGUUUUAGCCUCGAAAUUUUGAGCGGCCACUUUCGUCUUCAGAGAACAAAUACCUUUUCUCUGCUCCCACUUUCUGCCUUCCAGAAAACGCAAAGCUUCUUCCUUUCAGCUUCUCCUCCUCCUUCCUUUUCAGCGUAGCAUAUUUCUGUUAGGUCUUGAAGAACUUUGAGAAAUGGGUGGACUGCCGGCAGAAAAUACUUCCUCUGCCUUGGUUUUGCAAAGGUCACAGCCUAAUCAAGGAUCAGCAGUCACUACUCCUGCUCUGGACACAAAGCCAAAGAAGAAGAUCUGCUGUGCUUGCCCGGAUACUAAGAAGCUGCGAGAUGAAUGCAUUGUAGAACAUGGUCAAGAUGCUUGCACAAAAUGGAUCGAUGCUCAUCUCAAGUGCCUUCGUGCAGAGGGCUUCAGUGUUUGAAAUAUCCGGAUGGUUAAGAUAAUAAAUUGAAGGCUAUGUUCAACAGUUUUGAAGGGAAACCAUUUACUUUAGGUUUAGACAUACAACAUGGUAAUAUUUGAACGUUGGUGAAUAAUACAAGGAAGAAGAGCUUCUGUAGUUCUGUCUACUGUUAGAUGCAACCAUAUUUGACUUGUAUAUACUUAAAUAUUACUGAGACUUACACCUUCAAACGUUAUAGAGUUACAACAUGUGAUCUUAAUAUAUGCUAUUGUCUUGGCUAAUUGUAAGGCUCUCUCGAAUUAGUUUAUCAUUCAACUAUUCGUAAA